rfam:Microvirga sp. V5/3M, complete genome.
GAGGCUGGAGGUCAACGUCCGACAGCGCGAUGCGCCCUCGGGCGCGCUUUCA